AUGAAAAUGUAAACAACAAAGAUCGGGCCCCGGUUCCGGACCCAGCGUACCCGCCCUACCAUGAGACGAUCACCUCCACUCGUCUCCCUCAUUUUGGCCACUAAAUGGCCUAUAUUAGCCCGUGUCGGCCAUAAUGCCUACUCUCCCCAACAAUAUUAUUUUAGCCGGACAUGAUUUCUUUCAAUAGCUGUUUAGGAUCUCAUGCAAGCGGAUAAUUCAUUAACUUCACAGGUGCGUAUUACUGUUGCA